rnacentral:rRNA from 1 species
AGGCGAGAGUGCUUUAUUGAACUCGGUGACAGGUGUUGCAUGGCCGUCGUCAGCUCGUGUCGUGAGAUGUUUGGUUAAGUCCAUCAACGAGCGCAACCCUUAUAGUCUGUUGUAUUUUUCAGGCUAGACUGCCCUGGUAACAGGGAGGAAGGGGGGGAUGAUGUCAGGUCAGUAUUACCCUUACAUCUGGGGCUACAAACACGCUACAAUGGCCGGUACAAAGGGCAGCCAAGUCGCAAGACGGAGCAAAUCCCAUCAAAGCCGGUCUCAGUUCGGAUAGCAGGCUGAAACUCGCCUGCUUGAAGUCGGAAUCGCUAGUAACGGUAGGUCAGAUAUACUACCGUGAAUACGUUCCCGGGUCUUGUACAC